rnacentral:tRNA from 1 species
GCCUGGAUAGCUCAGUUGGUUAGAGCAUGGUGCUGGUAACGCCAAGGUUGCAGGUUCGAUCCCUGUAUGGGACA